CUUUGUACUCCGGGGUGUGAGCGGUGAGGGAGUGGGUAGACCUUGUCAGUGUCCUAAUCCAUAGUCUCAGGACAGGGACAGGCCGAGGUGCAACAGCAAUGCUGGGCAUGGUUUGUUUUGCUCCAGCAGGUGUUGAACGUGUGGCUAUGCCAAAGGCCAACAGCAAACCCACACGAAGCAAACACAAAGCUUCCACUGAUGGGUCUGUGGGCUGCUGAUUCUUGUGGGCUUUACAGUGCGGCAACGGCAGUGCUGGUCACAUGGACGGAGAGACUGUUUUGAUGCCAGAGACUAAUGCUCCGAUCCAAUCCGUCACCACAGGAGUUAAAGGAGCAGCCAAGAGACCAGCGUGGUUGAACCCCCGCUCUAAGCUGCCUGCCGUUCUCUCCUCCCCUCCCACUCUGAGGCUGCAGUUCACAUGCCGAAGACAAAUGGCAUAAAGGGCAGGCAAUUAAUUUUUUCAGCUGGAGACUGAUGGAAUGUGGGUGUCUGGCAUGCACCUCUGUCUCCAGUCUCCUCAGGGAAAUACCUCCCGGAGGGCCCUUCAAAUUCCUCAUCUGCCCUUUAGGACCAAUAUGUAAUUCAGUCCUGAAAAAUCAGUCGGAAUGGGUCCUGUGUCCACUAUACCAAGAGUCCAAGGACUGCACAGACGACAGGCCCAUUCGUUUAUUUGUGGUUUUGGUUUGUUUGUUUUUGUUUUCUAACCCAAGGUUUCAUGUAGUUUAGGCUGGCCUCAAACUCACUAUGUGGACAAGGCUGGCCUUGGACUUCUGAUCCUCCUUCUUGUUGGGGUUACAGGUGUGUGUAACUGAGGGGACAGUUCGUCAUGACUUUCCUUGGGGAGAGAGAAAGGCCGUCUUAGAAUAUACCUCAGGGUCUAGAUUCCAAGUCCCCAGAACCUCUGUUGGGUUGGACCAGGCCAGCCAACCUGGUGAACAAAGGCAAGCAGAGCAUAAAGAAUUUACUGGAUAGGAUGCAGAGAAGCCCUGGGGACGGGGUGCACACCUUUAAUCCUAGCACUCCAGAGGCAGGGGCUGGUUGAUGUCUGAGUUCUAGGCCUACUCUGGUCGAUAGAGUGAGUUCUAGAACAGCUAGGGCCACACAGAGAAACCCUGUCUUAAGAGGGGAGUGGCUGAGGAAGGGGGGAACCAUGCAGGGAAGUGUAUUAACAUAACAGCCAACAGGACCUGGAACUGGAGAAAAACUACUGCAUCCAUGUUGAUAGAGGUAUGAAGAUGUCAGAGGUAAACAUACAGGCUCAGGCUGAGCAGGGAUAAAACUCAAUAGUAAAACACAUAUCUAGCAACACGGGUUCAAGGUCCAGAGCUGCUGCUGCUGCUGUGGCGGAGGCCGAGGCAGCUGUUGCUGUUGAAGAAGAGGAGGAGGAGGAAGAAGGAAGAGGAAGAUGAUGUAGGUCUGUUGGGAUGGGCUGUAGCUGUGUGUUAAAGCAUGUGUUAAGGCUUGCCUUUGAUUCCCAGAAGCGUAUUAACAAGGCAGACAGGCAUGGUGGCGCAUUUCGGCAUUUGGAAAGCAGGAGCCAGAGGAUCAAAAUUUUAAAACAAGCCUGGGCUACACGAGACCCUUAAAAAGAAAACAAAUAAAAUGCAUUCUUCUGUUGGAAACUUAGGAGGGUGACCUC
ensembl:lincRNA BC043934 cDNA sequence BC043934